GACGAACGCUGGCGGCGUGCUUAACACAUGCAAGUCGAACGGAAAGGCCCCUUUCGGGGGGUACUCGAGUGGCGAACGGGGGAGUAACACGCGAGUAACCCGUCCCUGACUUUGGGAUAACUUUAGGGAACUGGGGCUAAAACCGGAUAGGGGCUCCCGCUGCGCGGGGGGGGUGGGGAAGUUUCGGGGGGUGGGGGGGGGCUCGCGGCGCAUCAGGUUGUUGGUGGGGGAGUGGCUUAUCAAGGGUUUGUCGGGUAGCCGGCCUGGGAGGGUGACCGGCCACAUUGGGACUGAGAUUCGGGCCAGACUCCUACCGGGGGCAGGAGUGGGGAAUAAUGCACAAUGGGUGGAAGCCUGAUGCAGGAACGCCGUGUGCGGGGUGAAGGCCUUCGGGUUGUAAACCGCUUUCGCUCAGGACGGAGCUUUGUGUGACGGUAGUGGGUAAAGAAGCACCGGCUAACUACGUG
rnacentral:rRNA from 1 species